rnacentral:lncRNA from 1 species
GUAUUUGCAGGUACAAAUUAUGCUAAUUAGUAAAAUGAAAUUUCGCGUAACAAAAGACUCAAAACUGUAAAUUAAAAAGAGACAUCAAACUCGGUAACAUUAAAGAAUGGACUUUUAAAAUAUCUAAAUUGAUAUAUUAAAAAUAAAACAUAUUUGCUCAUAUAAAAACAUAAAGGAACUUAGGUUUUAAAAGAGGAGACCGCGGAGGUGGUGGCAUUCCAGUGCGACGGCGGUGGGGCGACUAAUUUUAGCGCGACGGAGGUGGGAUUUUAGGGAGAAUAAACCGACAACGACGCGUGGGGCCGCAGACGGCGGGAACCCGUUAGGGCUCUCAAGAGCUGAUUGAGAAAAUAGGGGUNAUAAUUUUUCAUGUAAUUACAUUGUAUUGCCACGUUAUUUAAAUUUUUUAUCGAAAUAUGUCAUCGUGGGAAAUUCCAAAAAAAAUGAUUUAUCAUGAAUUUUGAAACAAGAAUGAAAGAUUGUGGGAAAAACUAAAAUUUAGAAAUUUAUUAUGAUUUUAUACAAAAUUUCCUAAGAAUUGGAUCUUCUUGAGUUGCAAUACCAAUGAGGCAUGUAUCUUUUGUCGCAUUUCUGCAUCAUGAAGGAUGGGUGGGGUGGGUGGGGGUGGCGAGUAAAAUAAAUAAAUAAAAAAUUGGGGGUGGGGUGGGGGGAGAAAAAUUUUAAAAAAAUAAAUAAAUUUUUUGGGGGUGGGUGUGGCGAGAAAACUAAAAAAAAGGUUAAUUUUUUUUUUUGGGGGGUGGGGAGAAAAGACGAAAAAAAAAAAUGAAGGGUGGGGGUGGGGGGGUGGCAGGUGGGGUGAGAAAAAAAAAAUUGGAGGGAGGGAAGGGUGGGUGGGGUGUGGAGGUGACGAGAAAAAUAAAAAAAAAAAGUGGGGGGUGGGGUGGCGAGAAAAAUAAAAAAUAAAAAAUAAAAAUAUUUUUUUUGGGGGGGGGGAGAGGGGAGGGGUGGGGUUGGGGAUGAGGGUGCAAAAUAUAUAAGAGUAAUUUUGUCAAAACCUAAAUUUAGGUGAAUUAGAAAUGGAAUGGAAUGGGUAAUACCAUGUUGGAGGGAAGGAAUGGUGAUUCCUAUAUGUAAAGGAAUGGUGAUUCCCUUAAGAAUGGUGAUUCCUAAAAUAAAACUAUACCAAGCAUAGGCAUGGAAUGGAGGUAGGAAUCACCAUUCCAUUCCCACCUCCAUUCCACCAUACCAAUCACCUCCUUAGGGUUUUAAAAGAGGAGACCGCGGAGGUGGUGGCAUUCCAGUGCGACGGCGGUGGAGGGUUUUCAGAUCGAAGAUCUGGCGACUAAUUUUAGCGCGACGGAGGUGGGAUUUUAGGGAGAAUAAACCGACAACGACGCGUGGGGCCGCAGACGGCGGGAACCCGUUAGGGCUCUCAAGAGCUGAUUGAGAAAAUAGGGGUUUUUUCUUCCGCCAGUGGCCGGCGGCGUACGCGGCGACGACGUGCGAUACACCACUCAAUGAUUGGAACAGAUUCAUGGUGGCUUGUAUCAAGUGAGAUAUUGGAGAUCCUUAGGAUUUUUUGUUGUUUUUCCGGUAAGAUGAAGGGGGAUUCGACCUUGGGGUAUGGAAAUCUGGUUUGGGGGAUUUUGAUUCAACAUGGAGAUGAUUGUCGCCGAGAAACUUUGGCAAAGAACGUUCAAAAACCUUACUACCGGAAACUGAAAGUAUAUAAGAGAAUUUUUUUGAUGAACAGUAAUCGAAAAACACUCACACCUUAGCUCAAGUUUCAUAAAAAAACUCAGAUUUAUGUGGUUCGAUUGUAAGAUGAGGUUGUCGGGAUUUUUCACUAUGUUUGAGGAGUGACUACAUUUUACAUGGUGAGAAAAUG